rnacentral:rRNA from 1 species
GGAACUAGCAUAUCAAUAGCGGGAGGAAAAGAAACCAACAGGGAUUGCCCUAGUANCGGCGAGUGAAGCGGCAACAGCUCAAAUUGAAAUCUGGCCCUCGGUUCCGAGUGUAAUUUGUAGAGGAUGCUUUUGGUGAGGUACUUUCCGAGUUNCCUGGAACGGGACGCCAUAGAGGGUGAGAGCCCCGUCUGGUCGGAUACCAAUCCUCUGUAAAGCUCCUUCGACGAGUCGAGUAGUUUGGGAAUGCUGCUCUAAAUGGGAGGUAUAUGUCUUCUAAAGCUAAAUAUUGGCCAGAGACCGAUAGCGCACAAGUAGAGUGAUCGAAAGAUGAAAAGCACUUUGAAAAGAGGGUUAAACAGUACGUGAAAUUGUUGAAAGGGAAGCGCUUGUGACCAGACUUGGGCCCGGUUAAUCAUCCAGCGUUCUCGCUGGUGCACUUGGCCGGCCCAGGCCAGCAUCAGUUCGGUGUGGGGGAUAAAGGCGGCGGGAAUGUGGCUCCUCCGGGAGUGUUAUAGCCCACCGUGUAAUACCCUGUGCUGGACUGAGGUUCGCGCAUUCGCAAGGAUGCUGGCGUAAUGGUCAUUAGCGACCCGUCUUGAAACACGGACCAAGGAGUCGUCUUCGUAUGCGAGUGUUCGGGUGUUAAACCCCUACGCGUAAUGAAAGUGAACGCAGGUGAGAGCUUCGGCGCAUCAUCGACCGAUCCUGAUGUUCUCGGAUGGAUUUGAGUAAGAGCAUACGGGGCCGGACCCGAAAGAAGGUGAACUAUGCCUGUAUAGGGUGAAGCCAGAGGAAACUCUGGUGGAGGCUCGCAGCGGUUCUGACGUGCAAAUCGAUCGUCAAAUAUGGCAUGGGGGAAAGACAAUCAC